GCUUACAAAUUCCCGAAAAUUCAGCAGAAUUUUUCCUAAAAAUUAGACAUUUUACAAUGUUUAACAAAACACAACUUAUACAAAAUUGUCAUCCUUACCUGCACAUUUAUUCAUUCAUCUUCCAUCUUAACAAGAAAAUCACAUGAAAUAAAGAAAUUCAGCAGAGGUAGAUUUUGGUUCUAGGUAAGACCUUGACUAAAACUAGACUAAACUUAAGAUACUUUUAUUUGCUAUUCCUUUCAACUAGACAUUUUAUUUGUUUUGUCCUUCCCAAAAUUCAAAUAGUAAAAGCUAAAAAAACUUCAUCAAAACUAAUUUAUGCAUAAAAAAAAACGGUAUUCACCAUUUAAGUAGUUCAAGAGUACCCCCUUUAAUUACUAAAGAUUUUUAUAAAAAGUUUAUUUAAUUUAAGUAAUUUUAAUAAUUAAUAACAAAUUAAGGGAUAUCCCUCAUUCAAGUAGUUUAAGGGGUAUCCCCUUUAACUAAAAAAUCUUAUUAUUAAAGAGAACCAUUGGAUACUUGGAAACUAAAU
rnacentral:misc_RNA from 1 species